GACGAACGCUGGCGGCGUGCCUAAUACAUGCAAGUUGAGCGCUGAAGGUUGGUACUUGUACCGACUGGAUGAGCAGCGAACGGGUGAGUAACGCGUGGGGAAUCUGCCUUUGAGCGGGGGACAACAUUUGGAAACGAAUGCUAAUACCGCAUAAAAACUUUAAACACAAGUUUUAAGUUUGAAAGAUGCAAUUGCAUCACUCAAAGAUGAUCCCGCGUUGUAUUAGCUAGUUGGUGAGGUAAAGGCUCACCAAGGCGAUGAUACAUAGCCGACCUGAGAGGGUGAUCGGCCACAUUGGGACUGAGACACGGCCCAAACUCCUACGGGAGGCAGCAGUAUGGAAUCUUCGGCAAUGGACGAGAGUCUGACCGAGCAACGCCGCGUGAGUGAAGAAGGGUUUCUGAUCGUAAAACUCUGUUGGUAGAGAAGAGCGAUGGUGAGAGUGAAAAGCUCAUCAAGUGACGGUAACUACCCAGAAAGGGACGGCUAACUACGUG
rnacentral:rRNA from 1 species